rnacentral:rRNA from 1 species
GGGUAGUUUGACUGGGGCGGUCUCCUCCCAAAGAGUAACGGAGGAGCACGAAGGUUGGCUAAGCAUGGUCGGACAUCAUGCGGUUAGUGCAAAGGCAUAAGCCAGCUUGACUGCGAGAGUGACGGCUCGAGCAGGUACGAAAGUAGGUCUUAGUGAUCCGGUGGUUCUGAAUGGAAGGGCCAUCGCUCAACGGAUAAAAGGUACUCCGGGGAUAACAGGCUGAUACCGCCCAAGAGUUCAUAUCGACGGCGGUGUUUGGCACCUCGAUGUCGGCUCAUCACAUCCUGGGGCUGAAGUAGGUCCCAAGGGUACGGCUGUUCGCCGUUUAAAGUGGUACGCGAGCUGGGUUUAGAACGUCGUGAGACAGUUCGGUCCCUAUCUGCCGUGGGCGUUGGAAGAUUGAAAGGGGCUGCUCCUAGUACGAGAGGACCGGAGUGGACGCACCACUGGUGUUCGGGUUGUCAUGCCAAUGGCAUUGCCCGGUAGCUAAGUGCGGAAGAGAUAACCGCUGAAAGCAUCUAAGCGGGAAACUUG